UCCAAUUCUUGUAGUCAAUCUUCACAGUCUUCGUCUUGCAACCCUUUCUUAGACACAGCCUCCGACUUCAUUUUUCCAAGAUUUUCUCGGUCGUCCUCUUCUUCUUGUUUGUCUUGGGCUUCAUUCUGCAACCUUGCCAUCCAUGUGUUUUCUGCUCCGCAGACGUGACCGUACCAUUCAGUCUUCUCUCGUCCUUAUAAUGCAGGACAUAUUUUUCCAUUGCAUCUCUCCUCAUCUCCUCACUUGUUACUUGGUCUUUCUUGUGAGACCACAACAAUUUCCCAGUUUUCCAUUUCGAUUGGGAAAUGCGCUUUUGGAUUGAUUUGUUUAUGACCGAAAUUUCGGAGGCAUAUGCCAUGAUGCUUCGUACAAUUAUUAAGUACAUCACAUUUUUCUUUGUUCUUUCCCUUGAUGUUCUUAUUCCAGAUCAUUAUAGAGUUGUCUGAUGCAAGAUCUGUUGUCCCAAUAUAUUUUUCAUUUUUAUUUCUGCCCCUGCUGUUCCGUUUUUCGACAUUACAAAACCCAAAUUUAAAAUUCCGUUCCUUUUAUUCCUACUUAUCUAUUGCCAAAUCAUUGACGUCUUCUUCCGAUAUUGCUAAGUAGUCCGUUUUUUCAUAUCUAUUUCCAGGCCCGCCGGUAUUUUUUUUUUUAUAACCCACAUAACCCAUAUUCUGAGAUGCAAAGAUUCAAAUAAUUCUGCCAUAAUAAAUCCCAUCUUACAUAACAAACAAAUCAACACAACCCAUAUUCCGAGAUUUAAAGCUUCAAAUAAUUCUGCCACAUUAUUCUACCCUUCGAACAAAAAAUUUCUCUAACACCCCUGUAUAAGUUAAGUCAAUAUUCUACCUCUUACUCAAGGGCUUGAGCCAUAAAUCUUACAAACAUGCGUGUCGUCGGCUAGUGGGUGGAUUUGGCAUAGGGAAAAAUAACAUCUCAUUUGCCGCUAAUUCGUCUAACGGUGAUCAACUACAAAUGAAGGCUUCAGUGAGAUUCAAAUCACCGAAUUAAAUAACUAGCCAAUGAACAUUAAUACAUGGUGUAUUUUUCCGCAGUGUAUCGUUAAGUUGUUGUUAUAGAAUGAGUAGUAUCUGUAGAAUUUUUGUUUUAACAUCUUAAACAUACUACAAAUUGCUUUUGAACUGAUGAAGCUUUCGAAAUUGUAAAGCGAAACGUUUUCAAUAUAUCAAUGAAGUAGUUGA
rnacentral:lncRNA from 1 species